GGAUGUGAGGGCAAUCUGGCUGAAACAUCUGUCACCCCACUGAUCGCCAGGGUUGAUUCAGCUGAUCUGGCUGGCUAGGCGAGUGUCCCCUUCCUCCCUCACCGCUCCAUGUGUAUCCCUCCCAAAGCUGUGUGCUCAGUCAAAGAGGAUGACCUUCCCUUCUAGAGGAGGACCGGUCUUUGGUCAAGGGUAUACGAGUAGCUGUGCUCCCCUGCUAGAACCUACAAACAAGCUCUCAAAUUUGAAAUCCUGUUGGGGCCCCUCCUACCACUUGCUAAUAGCACCUCAAACUAAAUAUUUGUAUCAAGAUCCUAAAUGAAAGAACAGUGUUUCAUCUUC
rnacentral:snRNA from 1 species